UAAACUUCUAUAAGUCUCCAAGCGUCCACAGUGAAAAUUUUUUCAUUUCUAAAUUAUAUUUAUAAUUGUUAUCUAUAACUGUAGAAGUAAAGUUGUCUGGAAAUGUUUUUAUUUCAAAUUCUCUAAUCGAAUAACAUGAGUUUAAUGCUUUAAAAACCGUUUCAGUAUUUACAAACCAAUUUAUCAUUUUAUCACAUUAUCAGCAACUUAUCAUGCAAUGAUUUCUUCAUGAAUGGUUUGAUUAAUUUUUUUUUUCACUUAAUAGACCAAUAUCAGUAUUUUUGUGCCUCUUGGUCUUCCUCGUCUUUCAUAGCAGGCUGAAUUGUAAUUUUUUACAAAGUUUUAAAUUUUUUGUUAACAUUAAUCCAGCAACGGGUUAGUAAAUCAUGUGGAGGGUCCUGGAAAAGGUAAUUUCUUAAUACCUUCUACAUCAGUAUUUUAUUUAUAUAUUACUUAUGUUCGAAAGUAAAUUCAAAUUUUCUUAAUCAGUUGUGAAAGACGAUCGUGAAGCAGAUAAGAAUGAAGAAGAAAAAGAUGUUUUUUUUGUCUUUCAUACUGCUGUUGCUGCUACUACUUCUACAACUAUGAAGCCUUUGGCUGGUGACUUUUCGGUUAAUUUUUUUGAUUCGCUUGAUGAAAUGAUGUAUUCAGGUGCUGUGGUAUCAAUAUUUACCGUUUGAAAAAUCCGUUGCGUCUUGAAAUAAUAUUCUCUUCUCUAACGCUCCAAAUAUAAGUCUUCAUCAUAACGAUUGAAAUUAUUUAAUCCCUUGACAGCAAAUAUGUGUCUGUAAUAAUUAAUAAUAAUUAAAAUUAACCACUAGUGCGUAUCAGGUUUGCUCUUAAUCCUACAGUUAAUUUAUUUAUUUCUUUUUAAUAAACCCAACAGCUUUGAAGACGGGAAUAAGGGGGGGGGGCACUUAUAGUACAAAAAUUUAACAAGAUUUAAGAAAAAGAAUAAGAAUGUAAUUUUCACUUGAGUGGUUUGCGAACAGGCUCAUACAUCUACUUGUUCUCUCGCAAGCACAAUGAAAAUUUUCUGCUAUGAAUCGAGGACACGAUUUACAUCAUGCUGCAACCUAGAGCCAUGGAGAGGUUAAUGAACAACUUAAUCUAGGCGAGAAUAAUCAUCGAUGAAGACCCGGUGAGUGGUGGACCGACUGGUCCCUACAUUCAGUUUGAGCAGCUAAAAAUUUUCCAAAAGCACGUGAAGAAGCUGUUUGACAGUGAUAAGAUGUAUCAAUGGCUCUCAUGUUCUAGGUCUAGUCAAGUGUCUAAUAUCUACGCCUAAGUACGUAGAAAUUUAUCAAGCUUUUGGCUGCACGCCUCCUUGCGUUGGACACACUGCUGAUUCUCAACACUAAUGACAAAAAAUUGUCCAAAAUGCAGAGGGAUAUCAGGGUUUUGACUUCUAUCGGGAACAGGGAAUUUUUUUUUAGCUUUGAUGUAUUAGGGUAAAAGACCCCAUUAGUGGCGGGGAUCCCAUUACUGACACU